GAUGAAGAACGUAGCGAAAUGCGAUAAGUAAUGUGAAUUGCAGAAUUCAGUGAAUCAUCGAAUCUUUGAACGCACAUUGCGCCCGCCAGUAUUCUGGCGGACAUGCCUGUCCGAGCGUCAUUUCAACCAUCAAGCCCCGGGCUUGUGUUGGGGACCUGCGUCCGACGCAGGCCCUGAAAACCAGCGGCGGGCUCGCUGUCCACACCGAGCGUAGUAACUAACCUCGCUAUGGAGUGGCGCGGGCGCCUGCCGUAAAACCCCCAAUUUCACAAGGUUGACCUCGGAUCAGGUAGGAAUACCCGCUGAACUUAAGCAUAUCAAUAAGCGGAGGA
rnacentral:misc_RNA from 1 species